rnacentral:misc_RNA from 1 species
CCGCGAGGUGCUGACCGCGCUGCCGAAGCUGAAACUGCUGCUGACAUCGGGCAUGCGCAACGCAUCGUUCGAUCUGGAGACCGCGAAAGAGCGCGGCAUCACGGUGUGCGGAACCGGCAGCGUCGGCAAUGCCACCGCGGGGCUGACCAUCGGGCUGAUGCUGGAACUGACUCGCAAGAUCGGUUUCGAGAAUGCGCGCAUGCAUGCGGG